AGUGAACGCUGGCGGUGUGCCUAACACAUGCAAGUCGAACGGCAGCACAGUAAGCUCUUGCUCCUACCGGUGGCGACUGGCGGACGGGUGACGCAUACAUCGCCUUCUUCUUUUUCUUGGGUGAUUUCGUAAGGCAACUUACGCUACUACCUCAUACAACCUACGGCUUAAAGCAGUAGAUCUUCGCACCUUGCGCGAUUGAAUUAGCCGAUGUCGGAUUAGCUAGUUGGCUGGGUAAAGGCCCACCAAGGCGACGAUCCGUAGCUGGUCUGAGAGGGUGAUCGGCCACACUGGAACUGAGACACGGUCCAGACUCCUACGGGAGGCAGCAGUGGGGAAUAUUGGACAAUGGGCGAAAGCCUGAUCCAGCAAUACCGCGUGAGUGAAGAAGGCCUUCGGGUUGUAAAGCCCUGUUGUUGGGAAAGAACAGCAGUAGGUUAAAACCCCGCUGUUCUGACGGUACCCAAAGAAUAAGCACCGGCUAACUUCGUG
rnacentral:rRNA from 1 species